UACGGAGGAUGCGAGCGUUAUCCGGAUUUAUUGGGUUUAAAGGGUGCGUAGGCGGGAUGCCAAGUCAGCGGUAAAAAUGCGAUGCUCAACGCCGUCGAGCCGUUGAAACUGGCGUUCUUGAGUGGGCGAGAAGUAUGCGGAAUGCGUGGUGUAGCGGUGAAAUGCAUAGAUAUCACGCAGAACUCCGAUUGCGAAGGCAGCAUACCGGCGCCCUACUGACGCUGAGGCACGAAAGCGUGGGUAUCGAACAGG
rnacentral:rRNA from 1 species